rnacentral:tRNA from 1 species
GCCGAGGUGGCGGAAUUGGUAGACGCGCUAGGUUCAGGACCUAGUGGCCGCAAGGCUGUCGGGGUUCGAAUCCCCGCCUCGGCACCA